CGUCAACCAAGAACCAACAACGGAAAACCAAAAUUCAAAUCACAAGAAAACAAAAAUUUGAUAGAGAGAGAAAAAAUAAAAAAAUAAAGGAAAAAGAAACAGUUUCCCUCAGGAAGGAAAGAAAGUCUUCGCUCCCUCAACACCUUCUCUCUCUGUUUACUUUGGCUUUAUUGGCUUAUAAUAAUUCCUUUAUUUAUAUUGUUUAAAGCUGGUUCUCUUAAAAACUUGGCCGGAACUUCAUUUCAAAAGGGAGGGAAGCGGAGAAAAGUAAGAGGAAAAUCCAUAUUUUAUCUUGGCGUCCAAACAGAACGUGGCGAAUCAAAUGUGAUGGGAAGUGGUUUCUCCUCCCUCUUCCCUUGCUUCAAACCGGGGACUAACCGGACCCAACACGAACAACCCGACUUGAUCUUCACUGCCUCUGAGCCGUUGGAUGAAACCCUAGGUCACUCUUUCUGCUACGUUCGAUCCUCUAACCGCUUCGUCUCUCCCACUCCCUCCGAUCGAUUUGUCUCUCCUUCUCACUCCCUGCGUUUCUCUCCUUCCCGGGCUGCAACCGUUUCCGAGACCCGACCCGGAUUGCCUGAGACUGGGUUUAAGUCCAUUUCCGGCGCUUCUGUUAGUGCCAACGCUUCGACGCCUAGAACUGUACUCCAACUUGAGAAUAUUUACGAUGAUGCCUUUGACAGUAGUGGGUUUGCUGCUGGUGUUACUGGUGGUGGAGUGAGGGACAGUAUUGUGAACGUGGAGGGGUUCGAAAGCACGGCGUCGUUCAGGGCUUUGCGGUUGCAACCGGUGCCGCCUGGCGGAGAGGGGUUCUUCAUGUCGGGUCCCAUUGACGAGGGUGCUCUAUCCGGUCCACUCGACACGAACUCGGGGACCGACAGUAGCGGGCGGGUACACUUCUCGGCGCCGCUUGGUGGCACGUAUAUGAAAAAGAAGCGAAGGAAUGGCAUUUCUGGGAUUAAGAAGGCAUUAUAUCGGAACUUAUCGGAGAAGAAACGGCCGUGGGUGGUGCCGGUGCUGAAUUUCGUGAACCGGAAAGAGACUUCGGGAACCGGAGAGGAGAGGGAGAAACAUGAUGAGAGUAAUGUGCAGUGGGCGUUAGGGAAAGCGGGAGAGGAUCGGGUCCACGUGGUUGUAUCUGAGGAGCAGGGUUGGUUGUUUGUUGGGAUUUAUGAUGGGUUUAAUGGCCCUGACGCGCCUGAAUUCUUGAUGGGGAAUCUCUAUAGGGCUGUGUAUAACGAACUUCAAGGGUUGUUUUGGGACCUUGAAGAGCCUGACGAGGCAAGUAAUGUAGCAUCAACAAUUGUAGUGGAAAGUGACAAUACGACUAACUCAUCACUAGAAAGAAACGGUAAAGAUUAUGGGGAGGGUUCAAUCGGUGAAGCAGAAUCGAAUUUAGUUAAUUUAGAAAAUGUAGCUAAAGAUGAUUCGUCAAAGGAAACGGGUGUUGAAAAGGACGGGGAUGGUACAAUUGGCGGAAUUGAAUCGAGCUCGGUGCCUCAUGAAAGGGCAAAGAGGGUAACGUUUCAAUCAGAGGGGAUAGAGAUUACACAGAGAAGACGAUUAUGGGAAUUCCUUGCUGAGGAUGAUGCAGAAGACGGGCUUGAUCUUUCAGGGUCUGAUAGAUUUGCCUUUUCUGUUGAUGAUGCAAUUAGUGUUGGCAAUGCGGGGUCUGCAGUCAGUAGAAGGUGGUUAUUGCUGUCAAAACUGAAACAAGGGUUGUCAAAACGUAGGGAGAAUAAUAUUUUUCCAUGGAAAUUUGGAUUGGAGAGAAGAGAGGAGAAGGUGGAGAGUAGUAGAGUGGAGGAGAGGGUUUUGAAGAGGAAGCGGAAGGUAGGACCUGUUGAUCAUGAUUUGGUUUUGAGGGCAUUAUCAAGAGCGCUAGAAAUGACUGAGCUAGCAUACUUGGAUAUGACCGAUAAGGUGCUGGAUACAAACCCAGAGUUAGCAUUGAUGGGUUCAUGUUUAUUGGUGGUCUUGAUGAGAGAUGAGGAUGUAUAUGUGAUGAAUGUGGGUGAUAGCAGGGCAAUCGUGGCGCAGUAUGAGCCAGAAGAUGUUGGUUCUUGUGUGGAUGGUUCCGGAUUGACCAUGGAGGAGCUAACUGAGGGUCCUGCUCAAGCAAUGAGGUUGACUGCAUUGCAGCUGUCCACUGAUCACAGCACAAGCAUUGAAGAAGAAAUCUUAAGAAUCAAGACUGAACACCUUGAUGACAGCCAGUGUAUUGUCAAUGAUAGAGUGAAAGGUCGUCUUAAGGUUACCAGAGCAUUCGGAGCAGGAUUUCUCAAACAGCCAAAAUUUAAUGAUGCAGUGUUGGAGAUGUUUCGGAAUGAGUAUAUUGGUACUGCACCAUAUAUAUCCUGCAUGCCUUCUCUCUGUCACCACCGACUGUGUCCAAGAGAUCAAUUUGUAGUCCUCUCAUCUGACGGACUAUAUCAGUAUCUGACCAAUCAGGAAGUGGUUUCUCAUAUUGAGAGUUUCAUGGAGAAGUUUCCAGAUGGAGACCCAGCGCAGCACCUGAUAGAGGAGAUUCUUUCUCGCGCAGCCAAGAAAGCCGGGAUGGAUUUCCAUAAAUUACUAGACAUACCACAAGGAGACCGACGGAAGUACCAUGAUGACAUUACUGUUAUGGUGAUAUCUCUUGAAGGAAGAAUCUGGAAGUCAUCAGGAAAGUAUCCUUGAAAUCUUGGUACAUUGCUGUCUCUCAACUGGUGACCACAUUUAAGUGAGAUCAAUAGAAUGCGGUUUCAAUUCUCAAGUUGAUUCUUCUGCAAGCAGUUUAGAGAGUUUGGAUGAUAUGAUCCAUUUUUUUAUGGGUUAGAAAAACAUAUAUUCGGGCUAUACAGAGUUAACAGGGGCCACUCCAAUGAUAUUAGCAAAGACUAAUGCUAGGUAGCCAUUAAUGGUUGAGUAGAUGCCCUGAAGGAAAAAGAACACUAGGGAAAUCUGCAGAUGGGGGUUGGUGGCAAAUGCUCCUUGGAAUGAAAAUGUUUGUUUCCUUGUAAACCCAUGUUUUUCCUACAUAUUUUUGCAUAGUUGGAGACCUUUUUCUAUUCAUAGGUGCAUUAAUUUUACCUUUUAGAGCCAAAAAAAAAAAAAAAAAAAAUAUGUUUUAAUGAGAGUG
rnacentral:misc_RNA from 1 species